rnacentral:lncRNA from 1 species
UUUUUUUUUAAUAUUGGUAGAUGGAGAAUUUACCAAGCUUGUCUAUUUUGUCAUACAUUUAGGUUUACUGUUUGCCAAAUAACUCCCUCAAUAUUUAGUAAUAUGUAUUUUUGCCCCAACAGAGAGGAAAUAAGAAGUGUACAAUUCACAACAAAACAUAUCCAAAAAUAAAGCAGUCUACAGAAAAAAAAACACUUUAUUUUUUUUUUUUAGACUUUAUUUUAUGACAUGCACAAGCUAUCAUGUGGCAUACGACAAAACCACCAAACACCAGUGGAGAGACCCACCACAGACAUCCCCCGCCCCUCCCCACCCCACCCCAACAUGCACAUAAAAAAAAUUAAACAUAGAAAUAAAAUAAAACGACUCCCACCCAUGACAUCUCAGAACACAGCAGAUCCCUUGCAACCUACCCUCCCAAACCUGGUCCUGCCAGUUGUCUUCCUCCCGAAACAAACAAAAAAAAAUAAUAUACACAAAGCUGUUUAUAUACAAACGUGUUUGUGGUCAUGCAGCCUUGUAAUGUCAAUUUGUUUCUGGUUUUUACUGGCAACUUUUCUCCUCACUAUCCACUAUUUAACUCUUUCACUGCCAGAGAGGCCAGCACAUCUUACAGUGAAAGGUUGUUAAAAACAGCGGAUGGCUAGUAAGCGGUGCAAAUUAAAACAACUAUUAAUUGUACCAUGUUUCCAAAAUCUCAUCUAUGGGUUUUUAUAUAAUGUACACUUUCUUCUUUCCAGUAACAUGUUCAAAGAUUAACAUGUCCGAUUACAUUUUUUUUAUGCUAAUGUCUGGCCUAGAAGGAGUUUGACUUGUGGUGUUUGUUUUUUAGAUGUGAUUAAUUCAGUAGUAUGAAGACUGUAAUGAAACAUGGAGUGAGAGGUGUGUAAAAAUGCCCAAAUGAUCAAAAAAGAUCAACAAUAGGGAUCUCCAAAAACCUGGCACCAUAUAAACUGGGGAGAAUGUGGAUCUUCAUGACCUUCAUUAAUCAAGGUUUCUAGUCUGUGGUUAGUAGAUUUAUGGUGGCUUAGGUUGUCAAACAUAGUCCAAAAUUAAACUACCUGGGUAAAGAAAAAACAAGUCCUUUGUAUGAACUAGUGCAGGGAGAUAAUCCUAUUGUGGCCACCUACUCUAAACACAGGACCAGCAGAAGCACAGUUUUCAAUAGGGCUCCCUACCCAUGUGGUUAGGAGCCUCUAUCCGUGUCGUCCGUAUAUAGUGAGAUCACAAUAGGCUCAUGGUUCCUGAUAUUUUUGCUAAUUUAUAGCCCUACCUAUACCCCCUAUAGCUCUAGGUAUGUAUAGGAAGGGAGGAGGAGUCUUGCAUAACCUUUGCUAAAAUAACAAAACAGAAAAACAAAAACAAAAAACAUUUUACAUACUUUAUUGCCAUUGAAGCAAUGUAUCAUCUUGCACACAUGAAAAUAUAAAUUGUAAAGUUACAAACGAAAUGGGAGAGUUGACCCUUCUUUUCAGUUUAAAUUCUCUUCACACUUGUAAAAAGUAUAUUUUCUACACCAUAAAUCCUAAAGAGAUUACAAGUGGUACAAUUUGAACAGACAAAUUGGAAAACUUACACUGUUGGAUUCUCCGACCCCAGCUAUUUUGUCCUAUAUUUUUUAGUACUCUGUUACAAUGUCUUGCUUCAUUUGAGUUUCCUGUCAUUUCCAGAUAUGUUUUAAUAAGUGCUACAGUAUUUCUUCAGCACUUAUAUGUGACUAUGGGAAUAAGGGUUAGGGCUUGUUAAGGAUUAGAGCAUGGGUAGUCAACCUGGUCCCUACCUCCCACUUGUGGGCGGUUUGGGAUUUCAGGUGGGCGGUGGUGGGUUCUGCAGAAAACACUCGAUGGCAGUGGACCGAGGCUGGCAGGAUCAAUUUCACACCCUUGAAUUGAUCUUUAUACAUAAUUGCCAAUGUUUUCAUCUCUGAAAGGUAUUUCACUAGAGGUGGUCUCGCCUUCAGGCAAAAAAGACACUAGCCUAGAGACCCAGCAUUAGGAGAGGCAACGGAUAAGCCACUAAGAAUUGUGGAUUAAACAUGCAUCACAGUCCAUGACUUACAUGUGUCAUCAAUUGCUGUCUGUUUCCAUCUGGAUUUCAUGUGUUUAUAUAAUUAAAUUUGGAGCCCCAAAAAGUGAGAUGAAAUAUUGAUGGCCACCAAGCACUCAUGAUUGUCCACAACACCCAGACUACCCUCAACGUUUGAGUUGCUUAGACUGAUGACAGUUUUCCCUAGCUUAUGGUCAUCACUUAUAUAUCCAUUAUUUAUAUAUAUAUAUAUAUAUAUAUAUAUAUAUAUAUUAUUUAAGUGUGCUGAAAAGGUCAUAUUACCUCUUCAUUACAACAGUAGAAUUACUGAUAUGAAAAGUAGAUUCUAAGAAAAGUAGUUACUAAAAAAAAGACAUUUGAGAAGACAUAUUAAAAGACUUUGGACAUUUUAUAAUAAUGUUAUCCAGGCUUUUGGCACCUUCUGUGUGCCAACAUAUAUUGUAUAAAAAUUUUGGAAUGCAAUAGCAGGUGAAGGUGUGAGGAAUAGAUUAAGAACACAAUGAAGGCUCUACAACCUGACUUCAUACGAUUACUUUCCAGACUGAAGAACAUAGUUUACAAGUAUUCUGUUCUAGAAGAACUUCUAGACAGCACUGAAAACCUUUGUAGACUGCAAUGUCAGCCUUCAAUAUCCUUUUUGUAGAGCUUUUGGUUUACCUGUACUUAGUAUGUAUGGGUAUUAUUUUUGCAUGCUUGUUGCAUUUCAAGGAAGCUGUAAUCCCAAAAAUGUCAUCAGGUUCCUUACAACGUGGAAGCUGAGUGUUGGCUGAAGAGCUAAGAGACACAUAAGGGGUAAGCAGCAGCAUCUCUAAGGUUGGGUUGCUGUCACCCAAUGUGGUGACUCAUGGUGUCACAAGCCCAACCAUGGACCUCUUCCUGUACUAGACCAUAUGAGGUCCAGGGUAGUCCAAUGGUAAGCUCUUCAAGACUACACUUUCGCUGGGUAAAGACCUUGUAUAUUCUUGUUGCACAUUACCACGGCAAGCUCUGAUACUAUCAGUUAUAGUGCCAGAGCUCACAAGAGGUAUAUGCACAGUUUGCAAUCAGCAAAGACGCAGACCAGGAGGUUUCUUGGCUCCAUGCAGUGUGUGCACUGAGCCAGUGUGGAAGAUCUUUGAUUUGCACAGGCUCAAUGCGUCUACAAUUCCUCCAUAGAGGAUCGUUUCAAUGAUCCUUUACGGCCGGCUAUCACGGCUUUAUGCAUGUGUGUGUGAUGUUACCGAAUGAGAGUCCGCAGGCACUAUAACAACUUCAAUAAGAUCAAGUUGUUAAAGUGCUUACAGUGUCUCUUUAAACAAACUGGUAGAAGCCUUUGAAGGUGUGAGUGAAGUAUUUACAUAGAAAGCUGCAUGUUUUACAGUUUUGAACUACUACAUGUUGUUUAUUUUUAUUUCUUACAUUUCUUGCUCCGAUAUAUAUGUUUUGGCUCUGUUAUUUGGUCCUACAUAACUUACAUCUAAUUCCUCACUCUACAGCUCUCUACCCACAUAACUAGUCCUUCCUGUCUGUUUUAGCAACUUUCUUUUCCCUUUUUUAAUGUUCUUACACUACAGCUACCACACGUAAUAUGACUUCUAUAAAGAAGUGUUUGCUUAGAUACUACCUGAGCAUCUAGCUAUUUUAUUUUCCACUCCAUAACUAUACUUCACUUCCUCUUGAUUAUAUGCCCUCGUUUCAGAAAGGACCUCAGCAUCUGUCCCUGGAUACUAAAAUGUAUAAUUUACUUGUGUAAUUGUUCGCUGAAUAUACUGCUAUGGAAUAGACUGGUAAUUUUCUUUUUUGUAAAUAAUAUUUAUACUUAUGUAUUUUUUCUGAUUAGGUUUAAUGAACAAUAACAUUUACAGUUAUGAAGUUUUGUUAUCAGUUUAAAACGUUAAUCUCCAUAUCUAACUAUAUCUAUACACACGUAGAUUCACGUCAUUACACUUUCACUUCUGCUACGUGUCAUAUGAAUUUGUUACAAUGUUGUGUCCCAAAUUAUCCUAAAACCUGUCAAUAAGUAACCAGACACAAUAAGGGUACACAAUGUAAAAAUGAGACAAUUCCACCCUUGAAUUGAUCUUUAUACAUAAUUGCCAAUGUUUUCAUCUCUGAAAGGUAUUUCACUAGAGGUGGUCUCUCCUUCAGGCAAAAAAGACACUAGCCAAAAAGUGAGAUCAAAUAUUGAUGGCCACCAAGCACUCAUGAUUGUCCACAACACCCAGAC